rnacentral:rRNA from 1 species
AGAGACAGCAGCAGCCGCGGUAAUACAGAGGGUGCAAGCGUUAAUCGGAAUUACUGGGCGUAAAGCGCGCGUAGGUGGUUUGUUAAGUUGGAUGUGAAAUCCCCGGGCUCAACCUGGGAACUGCAUCCAAAACUGGCAAGCUAGAGUAUGGUAGAGGGUGGUGGAAUUUCCUGUGUAGCGGUGAAAUGCGUAGAUAUAGGAAGGAACACCAGUGGCGAAGGCGACCACCUGGACUGAUACUGACACUGAGGUGCGAAAGCGUGAGGAGCAAACAGGAUUAGAUACCCGCGUAGUCCCUGUCUCUUUACC